rnacentral:lncRNA from 1 species
CUGCAUCGUUGUUCUAUUUAGCUAGCUUCGAAAAGAUUAUCGUAGCUGUCGAAAUGGAAGGCAUCAGGUUAUUGGCUGCGUCUUACUAUGAGGUUAAUCAGAAGUUGCGUCUAAUUACCUGCUUUCACGUGUGUACACGUUCUGGCGCUCCUAAACUAUCCCUGAAUCUGAACAUUCGCCUAAUUGUAUGGUACGCAAGUUCACCCCAAAUUAAGUUUUCACUACACCGGAUGAAUCUGGAUAACAGAGACGUACAUGCACCGGCUAACCGAAAACAUAUUCUAUUGUAGACGCAGAUUAUUUAUUAGUUCUUUCGUGAAAUUUAAAAUGCUGUAGCUUGAUAUUACUGAAGUGCUUGAUAGGUUGCUUUCACGUUUACUCUGAGAGGAUGAUGCGGAUGUAGCUAGCAAUUGUACAUUGUCCUUCGCAUGCGGAUCAGAACACAAGGUGAACUCGUUUCUCUCUAAGUCCAUCUGCGAAAUAUUUGAGAAUUUGAUACUGUAUCAUAUUUGUCACAUUAUUACUUUCAGACUAGAGAUAUUUGAACUAUACGGAU